AUAAUCAGUGGUCUUUGUGUGCACAUUUUAAUUGCAGUCGUGUGAUGGGUUUACUUUGACCAAAUGUGGGUAAAAUUUUGUCCGACUUUCUCAAAGCAUUACGGGACAUUUUCGGCAUUUGCUAUGGUCAUUGCAGGUCUCAGGCCAGCCGUGGUGACACAAGCUCACUUAUCUACGUAUCUCAAUAGAGUGUCACUUGCAUCAUCAUAUAUGUCACCAGGGGCGGACCUAUGAAAAGGCUAAGAAUAUGUCUGGUCCAUCAGUCGAGUUUCAUUUAAAAUCCCUUCAUUUGGGCUAUUACCCUUAGCUCAGGUCAAAGUCAAGACAAACCCAACCCUUAGGUCCGGCCUGCAUGUAGAUCUAACUUUAUGGUUAAUUUUGAUUGUGCGGAGCUUCAUUGGUGCGUAGUGAAGUUUUAUGCAAUAGCUUGUAACCCAAAAUCGACGGAAUGAUCCAAUUUUUGUAGUGAUAGUUGCAGAAGUUGUCUAAAAUUAGACCGAGUUCUGCAUUCCACCACUAAAUCCCCAAAACGGGCCUUGUGAGCCUAUUCAUCUUGGAGACAAUUUUGUUUUGCCAAAAUUUGCCUCAUGACCUUAAUUUUGUCUAUGAUAUGUCUACUCCAUCCAAGUCACUAUGUAAGUGUUGAACUCAAAAUCUAUCGAGAGCUAAAAUUUGCUGCAUCUUGAGCCAAAUCUCCCAGUGUGAUCACUCCAUGAUCUAAAACAUGACUCGUUAUCCAAAAUCAGUAGCGUCGGCUCAAAUUCUGUAUGUCAUUGUUUAAAUUCAUUGAUCCACAAUUUAUCUUUCAACACGAAAUGAGAAUAUAAAAAUUGUCUCGUAAUUCAAAACUACUCAUAAGCAACUAAAAUUUUCACUGUAACCUGAAAUGUGUCUAAGAUGAAAAAUUGUGCAAAAAAAAAGAGAAAAAAAACCCUCCACGGUGAUGUAUCCGAAAUGUAAAUAACUUUUACUUACCUUAGUAUUUAAAGGUCUGUGUUGGGGGGCCUUAAGGGUUCAUUACCCUUAUUCUACUGCCCCCUCCCCAUCUUCCUCUAUCAAAGACAUCCGCCGCCAGCAUUCAAGAUGGCAUCUGACGUUCAGCCACAACAAGAUCAGCAAAAUGAUUUAUCCUCUGAGAUCAUAAGUAGUAUUUCCUCUCUUUUCGUAUGAAGAUUCCAUGAAAGUGGCCUCAAAGGAAAUAGAAGAAGAAGAAAUGGUGUGAUAUGCUAUAAGCAGCUUGUGAAAGAUUUUUGAACAAGAAAGAGGGCGAUUAGUGGGGCUGGAUACACAUGGUUCUCUUCUCUUGAUUCAAUUGCAAUGCUAAUGUGCUCAGAAACCUUGUCAUUGUCAAUUUCUUCGCCUGUUUUUCUCCCCUUCAUGUACAUAUGUUGAAACAGGCUCCCAAAAGAACAGGUUGAGACUUCAUCCCAAAAUUAAAAGGCUACAAAGAAUCAAAUUUCAUGACUAGUGCUACAUAUCUUGAAAGAGGCUUUCAAAAGAACAGGUUGAGACUUCAUCGCAAAACUAUAAGGCUACGAAGAGUCAAAUCUCGUGAUGUGGUGUGCUACAAGCAGCUUGCGAAAGAUUUUUGAACAAGAAUGAGUGCAAUUAGUGGCAUAUUAGAUACACAUUAUAUGAAAUACUGAACUCUUCGGAUAAUAUCGGAGUGUGUCUGUAUCAAGAACUGCCAAUCUACUAAAAGUAUCGGAAGCCGGAACAGAGACUUUGUCUUCAUCAAAUUCCUCGCCUCUUUUUAACAUUCUUGUUCUUUUUCAUGAGCUAGAAGACUUAAAGAGGCUUUUUGCAGAAUAAAAAAUGAUUAUGGAUCUAACAGAUUUGUAGUGAUUUCAUAUUUGUCAAAUUCAGGUAUCAUGAACGAGGCUUUCAAAAGAACAGGUUGAGACAUGGCCACUGUAGAUGGUUCUUUUACCAUCUCUUCUACUACCCAUCUUAAUUUGGACUGCUUCUUACUGUCAUUAUUCCAACUGCAUUAUACCUUUUAUAUUAUGGUUUACUUGGAUCUCCAUGAAGUUAUAUGCCAUUAGCAGCAGUUUAAAACCGAGUAGUUUCGGAUUAAACCAAUUGUUAAAUAUGUUGGAUGGAUUUUUCCUGGUGGAGUAGCCACUUCCGAUCAUCCUGCAGGUACAGGUCGAAUACUUCAACCAGAUAACAGUACUUUCAUUGCAGCAUUUGCAAAACACAUUUUGCAUAAUGGCCUCAUGACGUAUGUGGUCUAUGACAUGUCUAAUGACCCAAAUUCUACGCCUCAUCUAACUAUAUCAAUGUAAGUCUGCAACUCAAAUUCUAUACUAGAGACUUACAAUUUGUUAAUUGGCAGCAACAUGGCAGAAUUAUGGCCCAUUAAAGAAGUUUUUCGAAGGCUUCAAUUUAGGCGACCCGAAGUAUGUCAAACAAAAAAAAUGCGGAGUAUUUGAGAUGUAACCUAAGUUUAAAUAUAUUUUAUAUUCUUUAUCAAUUAUUUGUGAACUUACCCUAGUAUUUAAAGGUUUGCGCUAGGGCUCAUUACCCUAAUUAUUUGUGAAGUAUAUCAAGAUGGCAUCUGAUGUUGAUUAACAUCAGCAACAACAAGAUCAGCAUAAUGAUAUCUCCUCUCAAAUCGUAAGUUGUCUCCGAAAUGUGUGUUGUGUUUCAUCAAUCAGCUUUCAGAACUUAACCCAUCCGUAUCUUCUUGGCCUCCUUGGCUUUCAUGUAGUCCCUCCGGCAGAGGUGGUAAGCUCCUAGCAGCUUAAGAAAUAUCAGAGGAACAAGGGUGGAAUGAAGUUAGUAGGGCUAGCUACGCAGUACACUGAACACUCAACUCUUCAGCUAUCCGGUUAAUCUGUAUUGAGAACGGCCAAUUUACUAAAAGAACGGUCAAUUAGAUUUCCUAAAUAUUUAGUGUGUAUAGUUAGUUACAGCUCUUGUUGGUUCUACUGUUGUGUUUCUGAUUGAUUUCAAUUAUUUUGUUGUUGUUGGUUCUUUUUCUUCUUCCAAGA